GCUGCUGAGCUGCCCUGCGGUGCAAGAGGUGUGCUGGCAGGCAGCCCUGUGUUAAUUUUGAUGGCAAAGCUGUCUGAUCUUUUCCAGCUCUGACUUUUGGGUUUCUGCAAAGUAAAAAACUGCCCUAUGCAAAGGUGAUUCCACGCCAGGAGAAGGGUUCUGUGCUCCUUAGAGGGAAUGAAGGGAGCAUCACUCCUGACUGGCACGAGAGCUCCAGGACCAUCAGCUCAUCAGGAAAUCUCCUGUCUGCCCGGAGCACGCAGUGAAUUCCCACCUUUGCACUCAAGGCACAGCAUUAAGUGCUUCCAAAAUUCCCAUGACGGCUCCAUCCUGCAACGUUCUGAACCUCCUCACUGUGCUUCAGCAAUGCGAUCAGGUCCAGAUACGAGCUCAGGACUGGACCUACUGCAACAAGCAGUGUGAACAAUGCUGGGCUCUUACUGCCAUGCUCAGUGAGUUUCUGGCUGCAUCUAGAGUGCCAAAAAAACUUAUUGCAGGAAACAGGAGUGUCAUUUCUCCUUGUCUGCUGUGAGCGAGUCCUCAUCGGUUCAAGUGACAACACGUGCAGGUGCCUCUCUGCUUUUUCCACACCGGGUGAGUCCUUUCAGCAAGCAGGGAGGGAACAGCUGCUGGGUGAAAACAAGGCCAUCCUGCUGACCCAAGCUGAAAUGCGACAGGGAAAUGGGAUUUCUGACCUUGAGAGGUACAAAGUUGCCCAAAGGAGGGACCCGGCGAAGAUUAAAAAUAACUCCAUCUCCGUAACGCUUCUGCAGCUGGGCCAAAGCAUUGCAAAACACACAGCCAGCUAUGAAAUAGGACCAAUUGACAACAGCCUUUUGGUGACCGAUGGGCUGAGGAGCUCGCCCUCCCCUUUGCGAGCAUGGACUGAAGAACAGCUGCUUUUGUCAGCCGUGCUCUUGUUUGUCCUCUCCCCUGUCCCUGCAGAUGUUUGAGGAUGGCUGCUGUGACGGUGCUCAUCGUGUGGGUCGGUGUUCCUUUCUCCUCAGCUCCCACUUCUCUUUGGCUGUUGUGAGAGCAAUUAGACAUUACUCAGAGAGGGCCAGACAGUGUGUGGGUCCAUGGUCGCUCGGUCUGUCUGUCUGUCUCCCCCCUCUCGCACACAUGCCAUGUGAUUUGAAGCAGUCAUGUACCAUGAAUAAUGUCCAGGGGCCAGGUCACAAGCUUCCCAUAGCAUGGAAUUCAUUUGCAUACAAUCCGAGUAAUUACAAGUAAUGAAUAGAUUAGGAAAACCAAACAAAACGAGAAACGAUUCAGGCUGCUGCUAAUUCCUCAGCAGAAAGGAG
ensembl:lncRNA